rnacentral:lncRNA from 1 species
AUUCCUGACAGUGUCCUUUAUGUGACAUCUACAAUCUAAUCAUCAUCCUUAUUUGUUCCCAAUAGAACAUUGGACUCUGCUCCUGCAUCCUCAAUCCUGGGGCCCUGGUGACCAAGAAUGAACAAGAUGUCCAAGUUUAAAAUUUAUUGGUUUUAAGACAGCUGGAAGUUUAUUAGUUUCAGAAGAUUGGAAGCAAGGAAAAGUUUCUUCUGUGGAAAAAAAAAAAUGACCUCUAGAAGAAGGAUAAAUAGACGUGUUCUGAAUGCAUACAUGUGUUGAAAUAUGGACAUGAAUAUUCAGAAAUUCCUCCAAACGUCUUCAUGUUCCAAUGGAUUUUGAAUGCAGAAAAAAUGAACCUGGACUUGAUUGGAAGAAAGGAAAACAAGGUGAAGAUAAGAGUUCAAGAAGACAUUAUCUUACUGUUCUAGUACUAGUCAUUUUCAUUCUUUUCUAGUUUAGGUUUGCUCUAUUCUCCCAUUUUAACAGUAGAAGACAUUAUUUUCAUUUUAUGUAUGAAGUUCUGCCAAAUGUAAAGAAGAACAUAUGUCCCUCUCUUUGCCCUUACCCCUGUUUCCAAGUGAGAAGUUAGUUUUAAAUCUCUGGGUAUUGUUCUCUUCAUAAUAAAAAGUCACAUUUUCAGUCCAUUCAACACGAUCUAUUGUAAAAUCACUCCUUCCUAAUAUCUGCUGUAUUUUCUAGAAAUGAAUGAGAAAAAGUUUGAGUUGCUUUUUUUUUUUCUUUCCCUUCACACCUACACACUCUUCUACCAUCUAGAAAGAAAAAUACUUUUAGUUUUUAAUUUCCACUCUUUCCAAAAAUGAGAGGCAGG